rnacentral:lncRNA from 1 species
AGAAGGAGAGGGGUUCCGAAUAGACAAAGGAGUGACCAAAACAGGAGGAGGAGAAGAAAUACUCGGUUGGUCUAAUGAAUGAAAGGCACGAUUGGCCUCAGUCGCAAAUAAUCUGCGCUUCACCGAUGACCAAAGUUGUUCGAAAAGAGGGUGAGUAGCAUGACAAGGAUUAAAAGGGGCUAAUGAAAAAUGGCUUGAUAAAUGGAGGUUGCGAGCGUUUAUAGCCUCUGCUUCCACCUUAU